rnacentral:rRNA from 1 species
AUUGAACGCUGGCGGCAUGCUUUACACAUGCAAGUCGAACGGCAGCGCGGGGGCAACCCUGGCGGCGAGUGGCGAACGGGUGAGUAAUAUAUCGGAACGUACCCAGAAGUGGGGGAUAACGUAGCGAAAGUUACGCUAAUACCGCAUACGAUCUACGGAUGAAAGUGGGGGACCUUCGGGCCUCAUGCUUUUGGAGCGGCCGAUAUCUGAUUAGCUAGUUGGUGAGGUAAAGGCUCACCAAGGCGACGAUCAGUAGCUGGUCUGAGAGGACGACCAGCCACACUGGAACUGAGACACGGUCCAGACUCCUACGGGAGGCAGCAGUGGGGAAUUUGGACAAUGGGGGCAACCCUGAUCCAGCAAUGCCGCGUGAGUGAAGAGGCCUUCGGGUUGGUAAAGUACGUC